GAAAUUGCCGUCUCCAUGUAUGACCCACGUUCUGAAAAGGAGAUUGGAAUGUUUAAUUUCAACCUUUACAGAUUUGCUUCUCCAUCCACCCCAAACAUUCACCCAUCGGUAGUUCAGCACCGUAAUCCUCUGCCUCUACCACAAAAACUCCAUUUUUGCUUUUGCUUCAUUGUAACAGAUGUUCUUUUGGUGAGUUGUUUUCUACAACUCCAAAAGGCUCUUCUGCCUUAAUUAGUCAAUUUUCCCACACAAAUUAACAAAUCGCAUGUCAAGAAAAUCAUGAAUCCAGAAAAACAUUGCAUGUAUCAUCAAAUCUCUCACCUUCUUUUCCUUUUUUUGGGGUAUGAUCUUAAAUUCGGAUGUAUUUCCAAAUAUUUGUUUUUUUACUUUUCAACGGAGGAGUCUAACCCCACUUCUAACAUACAAGGGACUUGGAGAAGCAGUUGAUGUUGAUCCACCACAAAGACGUACACAUGCCUCUAAAUAAACAGCCCAGACUGGCUUACGCCGACGACGAUUGUGCUGACGACAGAGAUUUAGCCGGCAAAGGUGGUCAGGCUUCCAAGGAAAUCAGACAUAGGCUAUACCAUGUUUAAAAUUCAUGGAAACACAAUUACAUUGCAUCCAUGCCUAUUUCUUGCGAGAAGAUUGACAUAGUUUAAUUAGAUUAAGACUGACAUAGUUUGCUUAACCAGAUUUGAAAAAACCCACACGUUACUGAUGUAAGAUGUACGUCAGUUAUGUUUUUAUUUAUGAAUUCCUUUCUAAAUGCUAGGCAAAUGAGGAGAUUUGGUAAAUGUCAAAUGCCUGUGACAGUUCUUGUUUUAUUUGUCUCUCAGAAAAAACAAUCCAACAAGGAACACUGCCCAAAGAUUGAAGGGAGGAAUUUGUUAACUGUUGUUGAUCUUAAUUUUACCUUCACACUCCAUCUCAUCUUUCUCUUUUUUCAGUAUCUAAUUGGGUAAUGUUCAAACCUUUUGCACAAAUUUUUCAGUUCUAAUAGGUAAUUCUUCACUUUUAUGUCUUUCAAACAUUCUAAUUUUUCUUAUGACCAUAGCCCCUAAUUAUUGUUAAAAAAAUGUUUGAAGAAGCAUGGUUUUGCAAUUUAUGACUCCGGCUACGAGGAAGAUUUUUCACAGUGGUCAGGAUGUUUCAGGCUUUACAACAUUUCAAGCACACUCCUAAAGUCGGGAAUUCUCCCUCUCCGUGUCUCCUUUCUCUUGAAUGUUUGAUUGGUAUUUUAUUUUUAUAAGGUGUCCAAUCAAUUGCUACAAAUACAUGGAGAGGGAAGCAGAUAGAGAGAGGUCAGAAAUAUUCUUGCAGGCAAUCAAUUGUGGUAUGAGAAAGAAAACAACUAACACAACACAUCUUAAGAGGAGCGUAGCAUCCGUGAUUAAAGAAAAUGCCUAUCACAUGCGGAUCUUUUUCCAGCUAAUUAUAGUAUACAAAGAAGUCUUGCUUCAUUCCAGCUAAUUAUGGUGAUUCCUAAUAGAUUGGCAAUGAAAAUUUGAAGCAUCAAUCAGGAACAAAUGGGUGGAAAUUGCAGCAUUGAUGUCAAUAUGUAAACUUUCUUUUCAAAAGAAAUAGUGCAAUAUAGACUUUAUGGGUAUUGUGAAUAAUGUACAUAUUGUGAUGUAGGUUUUAUAUUUUGACAUUUAAGUUGUUUUGUGUUUUUCUA